GUGCCAGCAGCCGCGGUAAUACGGAGGGUGCGAGCGUUGUCCGGAAUCACUGGGCGUAAAGGGCGCGUAGGCGGUUUGGUAAGCGUGCGGUGAAAGCCCGGGGCUCAACCCCGGGUCGGCCGUGCGGACUGCGAGACUGGAGCACUGUAGAGGCGGGUGGAAUUCCGGGUGUAGCGGUGGAAUGCGUAGAGAUCCGGAAGAACACCGGUGGCGAAGGCGGCCCGCUGGGCAGUGGCUGACGCUGAGGCGCGACAGCGUGGGGAGCAAACAGGAUUAGAAACCCCAGUAGUCC
rnacentral:rRNA from 1 species